rnacentral:rRNA from 1 species
GUGGGGAAUUUUGGACAAUGGGCGCAAGCCUGAUCCAGCCAUUCCGCGUGCAGGACGAAGGCCUUCGGGUUGUAAACUGCUUUUGUACGGAACGAAAAAGUCCUGGCUAAUACCCAAGAUCCAUGACGGUACCGUAAGAAUAAGCACCGGCUAACUACGUGCCAGCAGCCGCGGUAAUACGUAGGGUGCGAGCGUUAAUCGGAAUUACUGGGCGUAAAGCGUGCGCAGGCGGUUAUAUAAGACAGAUGUGAAAUCCCCGGGCUCAACCUGGGAACUGCAUUUGUGACUGUAUAGCUAGAGUGCGGCAGAGGGGGAUGGAAUUCCGCGUGUAGCAGUGAAAUGCGUAGAUAUGCGGAGGAACACCGAUGGCGAAGGCAAUCCCCUGGGCCUGCACUGACGCUCAUGCACGAAAGCGUGGGGAGCAAA